rnacentral:rRNA from 1 species
GAUGAACGCUGGCGGCGUGCUUAACACAUGCAAGUCGAACGAUGAUCCGGUGCUUGCACCGGGGAUUAGUGGCGAACGGGUGAGUAACACGUGAGUAACCUGCCCUUAACUCUGGGAUAAGCCUGGGAAACUGGGUCUAAUACCGGAUAUGACUCCUCAUCGCAUGGUGGGGGGUGGAAAGCUUUAUUGUGGUUUUGGAUGGACUCGCGGCCUAUCAGCUUGUUGGUGAGGUAAUGGCUCACCAAGGCGACGACGGGUAGCCGGCCUGAGAGGGUGACCGGCCACACUGGGACUGAGACACGGCCCAGACUCCUACGGGAGGCAGCAGUGGGGAAUAUUGCACAAUGGGCGCAAGCCUGAUGCAGCGACGCCGCGUGAGGGAUGACGGCCUUCGGGUUGUAAACCUCUUUCAGUAGGGAAGAAGCGAAAGUGACGGUACC